rnacentral:pre_miRNA from 1 species
UCUCAUGCAUGAGCAAAGAAAAUGGUUUCUUGAGAUGGAAACCACUCCUGGUAUAAAUGCUGUGAA